AGAUUGAACGCUGGCGGCAUGCCUUACACAUGCAAGUCGAACGGCAGCACGGGAGCAAUCCUGGUGGCGAGUGGCGAACGGGUGAGUAAUACAUCGGAACGUGCCCAAUCGUGGGGGAUAACGGCAGCGAAAGCUGUGCUAAUACCGCAUAAGAUCUACGGAUGAAAGCAGGGGAUCGCAAGACCUUGCGCGAAUGGAGCGGCCGAUGGCAGAUUAGGUAGUUGGUGAGGUAAAGGCUCACCAAGCCUUCGAUCUGUAGCUGGUCUGAGAGGACGACCAGCCACACUGGGACUGAGACA
rnacentral:rRNA from 1 species